ACCGCAUCAGGUCUCCAA
rnacentral:snRNA from 1 species